rnacentral:rRNA from 1 species
CAGCCGCCGCGGUAAUACGAAGGGUGCAAGCGUUACUCGGAAUUACUGGGCGUAAAGCGUGCAUAGGUGGUGGUUUAAGUCCGUUGUGAAAGCCCUGGGCUCAACCUGGGAAUUGCAGUGGAUACUGGGUCACUAGAGUGUGGUAGAGGAUAGUGGAAUUUCCGGUGUAGCAGUGAAAUGCGUAGAGAUCGGAAGGAACAUCUGUGGCGAAGGCGACUAUCUGGGCCAACACUGACACUGAGGCACGAAAGCGUGGGGAGCAAACAGGAUUAGAUACCCGGGUAGUCCCUGUCUCUUAUAC